GCUAGCGUAGCUUAAAAAAAAGUAUAGCACUGAAGAUGCUAAGACGGGCCCUAGAAAGCUCCGCAUGCA
rnacentral:tRNA from 1 species